AACGAACGCUGGCGGCAUGCCUAACACAUGCAAGUCGAACGAGACCCUCGGGUCUAGUGGCGCACGGGUGCGUAACGCGUGGGAACCUGCCCUUAGGUUCGGAAUAACUCCCCGAAAGGGGUGCUAAUACCGGAUAAUGUCUUCGGACCAAAGAUUUAUCGCCUUUGGAUGGGCCCGCGUUGGAUUAGCUAGUUGGUAGGGUAAAAGCCUACCAAGGCGACGAUCCAUAGCUGGUCUGAGAGGAUGAUCAGCCACACUGGGACUGAGACACGGCCCAGACUCCUACGGGAGGCAGCAGUGGGGAAUAUUGGACAAUGGGCGAAGGCCUGAUCCAGCAAUGCCGCGUGAGUGAUGAAGGCCUUAGGGUUGUAAAGCUCUUUUACCCGGGAUGGUAAUGACAGUACCGGGAGAAUAAGCUCCGGCUAACUCCGUG
rnacentral:rRNA from 1 species